CCUGGAGGAAGUGGAGGAAGUGGGG
rnacentral:piRNA from 1 species